UACGAAGGGGGCUAGCGUUGUUCGGAAUUACUGGCGUAAGCGUGCGCAGGCGGUUUUGUAAGCCAGAUGUGAAAUCCCCCGGGCUUAACCUGGGAAUGGCAUUUGGGACUGCAAGGCUUGAGUGCGGCAGAGGAGACUGGAAUUCCUGGUGUAGCAGUGAAAUGCGUAGAUAAUCAGGAGGAACACCGAUGGCGAAGGCAGGUCUCUGGGCUGACACUGACGCUCAUGCACGAAAGCGUGGGGAGCAAACAGGAUUAGAGUACCCCUGGAUAAGUCCA
rnacentral:rRNA from 1 species